rnacentral:rRNA from 1 species
CAGUAGCCACGGUAACACGAAGGGGGCUAGCGUUGCUCGGAAUGACUGGGCGUAAAGGGCGCGUAGGCGGCGGCCAAAGUCAGGCGUGAAAUUCCCGGGCUCAACCUGGGGGCUGCGUUUGAUACUUGGUUGCUUGAGUGGGGAAGAGGGUCGUGGAAUUCCCAGUGUAGAGGUGAAAUUCGUAGAUAUUGGGAAGAACACCGGUGGCGAAGGCGGCGACCUGGUCCUUUACUGACGCUGAGGCGCGAAGGCGUGGGGAGCAAACAGGAUUAGAUACCCGCGUAGUCCCUGUCUCUUAUAC